rnacentral:snoRNA from 1 species
UGCACGUGAUGCCAUUCUCACGAUGGUCUUCCAAGUCUCAUGGUGAAGGGGCUUUGACGACAGUGCCACACGGCUUUGCUGAUGCUUGGUG